AUGGCUAAAUGGUUCUUUAGGAAGAAGAGUCAGGCGCCUCUGGAAGGGAUGGUUUGGCCUACAGAGAGAAAACAGGACUGAUCCGGGUCAGACUGGCCCAGAGGGCAAAAAAGCAUUUGCUUCGAAAGCCCCAUCAAGAGGAAAAUCUUUCUACUGCCAGAGGGGCUCUUCUGGGAAGCCUGAGUGGAGAGAGAGAAUGGGCAAGGGGUCAUCGAUGGACCGGAGAUGGGAUGGUAGGGACAGAAACUGCAGGGUCCGCAGAAGGAACUGCUCACCGAAAGCCAACAAGCUUGCCCUGUGGAAUCCCAGAAAGGCCCAGGAACUUCGGGACAUCACUGAAGGCAGAGUGAAGAGAGGAAGAGAAGACAGAGAAAUGGAGGGGAGAAAACUAUUAAAAUAAGUAAUAAGAAAACUUUCCCCAGAAGUGCAGAAUCUGAAUUUCCAGUAUAAAAGGGUCCAUUGAGCGCCAAGAACAAUGAAG
ensembl:lncRNA LINC02710 long intergenic non-protein coding RNA 2710